rnacentral:snoRNA from 1 species
CCCAGCUGCAGGCAACUGCCUAGGUUGCAUUGUACCUAGGCAAGUGUCACACUGCUGGAAGAAAAGCAGCUCAUAGCUGGCAGGCCUCCUGAGCCUGGUUAAUGCCAAAUUUGUGUUAACCACACCAGUGUGCCUAUUCU